rnacentral:rRNA from 1 species
UACAGAGGUCUCAAGCGUUGUUCGGAUUCAUUGGGCGUAAAGGGUGCGUAGGUGGCGCUGUAAGUCGGGUGUGAAAUUUCGGAGCUUAACUCCGAAACUGCAUUCGAUACUGCCGUGCUUGAGGACUGGAGAGGAGACUGGAAUUUACGGUGUAGCGGUGAAAUGCGUAGAUAUCGUAAGGAAGACCAGUGGCGAAGGCGGGUCUCUGGACAGUUCCUGACGCUGAGGCACGAAGGCCAGGGGGAGCAAACGGGG